rnacentral:rRNA from 1 species
UCAUAUGUGAUUUCUUAGAUCGUUGCGUCCUUUCGGGGAUGUCUGGAUAACUGUGGCAAUUCUAGAGCUAAUACAUGCAAUCAAGCUCCAACCUUCGUGGGACGAGCGCUCUUAUUAGACCAAGGCCAACCUGCUGGGCAACUGGCAGUUAGCUGUGGUGACUCUGGAUAAACACAGUUGAUCGCACGACUUUACGUCGGCGACGUAUCUUUCAAGCGUAUGCCCUAUCAGCUGUCGACGGUAGGGUAGCGGCCUACCGUGGCAUCAACGGGUAACGGGGGAUCAGGGUCCGAUCCCGGAGAGUAAGCCUGAGAGACGGCUUACACAUCUAAGGAAGGCAGCAGGCGCGCAAAUUACCCAAUGGGGAAACCCUGAGGUAGUGACAAGAAAUAACAAUACGCGACUCUUUCGAGGCCGCGUAAUUGGAAUGAGCACAGUCUAAAUCCUUUAGCGAGGAUCAAUUGGAGGGCAAGUCUGGUGCCAGCAGCCGCGGUAAUUCCAGCUCCAAUAGCGUAUAUUAAAGUUGCUGCAGUUAAAAAGCUCGUAGUUGACAAUCGGCGCUCGUCUCGGUGGUCCUGUUCACGCAGGCACUGCCUUGACGGCCUCUACACACUGGCUUGAGGUCGUGCAGGCUGGGAGACUGGCAGC